rnacentral:lncRNA from 1 species
CGAAUUUAAGCUAGUACAAAGUAUAAACAAUCAGAACUAUACAUGUUUACUAAUCUCUACUUAGGAGUAAACCCGAUGAAACCCACCUGUAAAGCUAAAUCCUUGGCAGCGAAGAGGCCUCGAACCAAUACUAACCCUUGCUGGAUCAACCGAACUCUUCCAAGACCAGUAAUCAAGCUAUCUCCAAGCUCUAUACAUGGAAAUCCAUCACUUAGCACCAAUUUCAGCACUUAAGCUUAAUUUAACCAAAUUGGAAAUGCAAAAUUUACCUUGUAAACUCCAAUUUGGUUGAGUUAAAGAUCCAAUACUAGGUUAUUAAACUGGAGUAUCAAGCUCAGCUCCAAAACCAGACCCUUCAAAGAAUUACAUCAAGAGAAACUCAAAAACUCGAAAAUCUGCUCAAUACAACAGCAGCAGAGAAGAAUUGGAGUUCGACUAAGCUAACCUUCACCAAAUUCAGAAAUCUUGGGCUUCGUGGAUUCCUCUCGAAGUCCUGAAUCCAACGAACCAAGUUUCGCUGCAAUCCGACGCUCCUACGUCGCACACAAGCCAAAACACC